UACGUAGGUGGCGAGCGUUGUCCGGAUUUACUGGGCGUAAAGAGCGCGCAGGCGGUCCUUUAAGUCUGAUGUGAAAGCCCACGGCUCAACCGUGGAGGGUCAUUGGAAACUGGGGGACUUGAGUACAGAAGAGAAGAGUGGAAUUCCACGUGUAGCGGUGAAAUGCGUAGAGAUGUGGAGGAACACCAGUGGCGAAGGCGACUCUUUGGUCUGUAACUGACGCUGAGGCGCGAAAGCGUGGGGAGCGAACGGG
rnacentral:rRNA from 1 species